rnacentral:lncRNA from 1 species
AAGACCAUGGUUGAAAGAUACCAUGGCAACCUAAUAUGAAAUGUGUAAGACCAUAGUUGAAAGAUACCAUGGCAACCUGAUAUGAGAUGUGUAAGACCAUGGUUGAAAGAUACCAUGGCAACGUGACAUGAAAAGAAUAAGACUAUGGUUGAAAGAUACCAUGGCAACAUGACAGAAAAUGAGUAAGACCAUAGUUGAAAGACACUAUGGCAUCACGUCAAAGAUAAAUAAGACCGUGGAUGGGAGACGUUAUAACAUCUGUUGAACAAUUGAUAUUCAGGUAAAAUGUAUCAGAUGACGAAUGGUUAUAUGAAAUGGUUGUGUGAAAUGUUUACAAGAACUGGUCAUAUGGAAAUAUAUGUACAAAAGCAUUGUAUGAAAUAAUUAUGAAAAUGGAUAAACGAAAUAAGUAUAAGUACAUGGAAUAUAAUUUAUGUUAAGUUUGAUAUAAGCUAUUACCAGAAUAAAUAUACAUAAAAU